rnacentral:rRNA from 1 species
GACGAACGCUGGCGGCGUGCUUAACACAUGCAAGUCGAACGGAAAGGCCUGCUUUCCCUUGUGGAUUGCGGGUACUCGAGUGGCGAACGGGUGAGUAACACGUGAGUGAUCUGCCCCCAACUUGGGUAUAAGCCUGGGAAACUGGGCCUAAUUCCCGAUAGGACUGCAGGGUGGUGCCUGUGGUGGAAAACGAUUUUCUAGUGGUUGGGGAUGAGCUCGCGGCCUAUCAGCUUGUUGGUGGGGUAAUGGCCUACCAAGGCGGCGACGGGUAGCCGGCCUGAGAGCGUGUACGGCCACAUUGGGACUGAGAUACGGCCCAGACUCCUACGGGAGGCAGCAGUGGGGAAUAUUGCACAAUGAGCGGAAGCCUGAUGCAGCGACGCCGCGUGGGUGAUGACGGCCUUCGGGUUGUAAACUCCUUUCGACCGCGAGGAAGCCACCUGGUUGGAAGGGUGGUGACGGUAGUGGUAGAAGAAGCACCGGCUAACUACGUG